rnacentral:rRNA from 1 species
AUACGUAUGUCGCAAGCGUUAUCCGGAUUUAUUGGGCGUAAAGCGCGUCUAGGCGGCUUAGUAAGUCUGAUGUGAAAAUGCGGGGCUCAACCCCGUAUUGCGUUGGAAACUGCUAAACUAGAGUACUGGAGAGGUAGGCGGAACUACAAGUGUAGAGGUGAAAUUCGUAGAUAUUUGUAGGAAUGCCGAUGGGGAAGCCAGCCUACUGGACAGAUACUGACGCCAAAGCGCGAAAGCGUGGGUAGCAAACAGGAUUAGAUACCCUGGUAGUCCACGCCGUAAACGAUGAUUACUAGGUGUUGGGGGUCGAACCUCAGCGCCCAAGCUAACGCGAUAAGUAAUCCGCCUGGGGAGUACGUACGCAAGUAUGAAACUCAAAGGAAUUGACGGGG